ACUCCUACGGGAGGCAGCAGUGAGGAAUCUUGCGCAAUGGAGGAAACUCUGACGCAGCCACGCCGCGUGCCGGAAGACGGCCCUAUGGGUUGUAAACGGCUUUUGAUUGGGAAGAACUAGUGGGUUUCGACCUGCUUUGACGGUACCAUUUGAAUAAGCACCGGCUAACUCCGUGCCAGCAGCCGCGGUAAUACGGAGGGUGCAAGCGUUGUCCGGAAUCAUUGGGUGUAAAGGGUGCGUAGGCUGGUAUUUAAGUCUGGGGUGAAAUCUUGCCGCUUAACGGUAAAAUUGCCUUGGAUACUGGAUAUCUUGAAUCUGACAGAGGUCGGUGGAAUUCGUGGUGUAGCGGUGAAAUGCAUAGAUAUCACGAAGAACAUCAGUGGCGAAGGCGGCCGGCUGGGUCAGUAUUGACGCUGAGGCACGAGAGCGUGGGGAGCGAACAGGAUUAGAUACCCUAGUAGUCC
rnacentral:rRNA from 1 species